rnacentral:rRNA from 1 species
UACGUAGGGUCCGAGCGUUGUCCGGAAUUAUUGGGCGUAAAGGGCUCGUAGGCGGUCUGUCGCGUCGGGUGUGAAAACUUACAGCUUAACUGUGAGCGUGCUUCCGAUACGGGCAGACUUGAGGUAUUCAGGGGAGAACGGAAUUCCUGGUGUAGCGGUGAAAUGCGCAGAUAUCAGGAGGAACACCGGUGGCGAAGGCGGGUCUCUGGGCCGAUACUGACGCUGAGGAGCGAAAGCGUGGGGAGCAAACAGG